rnacentral:rRNA from 1 species
UACAGAGGUGCCGAGCGUUAGGCGGAAUCACUGGGCUUAAAGCGUGUGUAGGCGGAUUUUUAAGUACCUUGUGAAAUCCCAUGGCUUAACCAUGGAACUGCUGGGUAUACUGGAUAUCUUGAGCCAACUAGGGGCUACCGGAACAAAUGGUGGAGCGGUGAAAUGCGUAGAUAUCAUUUGGAACGCCAAUGGUGAAAACAGGUAGCUGGGGUUGUGCUGACGCUGAGACACGAAAGCCAGGGGAGCGAACGGG